UUCGGGGACCGAGUAGAGUGGCGUCCGGGUGAGUAACACGUGGGUAAUUUGCCUUCGGGUGGGGAAUAACACCUCGAAAGAGGUGCUAAUACCGCAUAAUGCAGCGGCACCUUAUGGUGACAGUUGUUAAAGCGGGGGAUCGCAAGACCUCGCGCCUGAAGAGAAGCCCGCGGCGGAUUAGCUAGUUGGUGGGGUAAUGGCCCACCAAGGCAACGAUCCGUAGCCGGCCUGAGAGGGCGGUCGGCCACACUGACACUGACACACGGGUCAGACUCCUACGGGAGGCAGCAGUCGGGAAUUUUGGGCAAUGGGCGAAAGCCUGACCCAGCAACGCCGCGUGAAGGAUGAAGUUUCUCGGAAUGUAAACUUCACAAGAAUGGGAAGAAUAAGUGAGGGAUAAUACCCCUUACGAUGACGGUACCAUUUGUAAGCUCCGGCUAACUCCGUGCCAGCAGCCGCGGUAAUACGGGGGGAGCAAGCGUUGUUCGGAUUUACUGGGCGUAAAGGGCGCGUAGGCGGCGUGACAAGUCACUUGUGAAAUCUCCGGGCUUAACUCGGAGCGGCCAAGUGAUACUGUCGUGCUAGAGUGCGGAAGGGGCAACUGGAAUUCUCGGUGUAGCGGUGAAAUGCGUAGAUAUCGAGAGGAACACCUGCGGCGAAGGCGGGUUGCUGGGCCGACACUGACGCUGAGGCGCGAAAGCCAGGGGAGCGAACGGGAUU
rnacentral:rRNA from 1 species